rnacentral:lncRNA from 1 species
GGAUCUGCCGCUAGAGGCGGGGGCCCAAAGCCCCCCGCUGGGCCCGGGCGAGGAUGGGCGGGCAGGAGGCGGAGCGCAGCGCGGCGCUGCGCUGGGCGGCGGGAAAGGGGCGGGGAGGACAGCUCAGGCUUAAGCGGGCAGAGGGACGGUGGCAGAACCUGCGGGCUAGGUGGGAGGCUCACCCACAGGGAGGAAGGGAAGCGAGGACCGCCGCUGCUGAGGAGCGAGGAGACGCUUGGAGUCCAGGGGUCAGGCCGCUGCCACCUCCUCCUGCAGCGGAGACAGCACAGCCAGCGGGCGCACUGGCCGCAACGGCAACCCUCCGCGCAGGUGGGCACCCCCGAGCGCGGCGCUCUGCCCCUUCUCGGACCGCCGCGGGCCGGAUGCCCUCCUUUCCAGGCCACUGAGUUCGGGGGCGAGGGCUGGGCAGGUCUGGGGGUAGGAGGAAUGUGCACGGCUCCUUGGUGUGCACGCUUGUGCGCGCGCGCUGUGCUAGGUGGGGAAGAGGUGCGGGAAAGCAGCCUCCCUCAGGAUUUACUCCCUCGGGUCUCGCUGUCCCCACCCCCACUCUCUUCUGACCAGCAGAGCUCUCGAGCGGCUUUAGAGAACUGCGACCCCCUCCCUCGUCCGCAAUCUCGGUGGUGUGUGCACUUCGCCCCCCUCUUCACAAUCCACACCCAGCAACCAUCAGGACGCCCCCUGCUCUGUAGGAACCUUGGGAGAAGAGAGAGUGGUGGCAAGACCAGCCAGGGUGUGUUCGGGGAAGGCAGGAGUUGCUGGAGUAUUGUCUGCCGGGGACGGUGCCUGAGCCCGCGCGCUCCCUCGCGCUUUCAGGGCCAGAGUUGGGGGCGGGGGGCGGGCGCGGGGGGUUUGCUGAACUUAUCUCCGAAGGCUGACUGUGCACAUGCACUUGGCGACUUGUGCACGUUUGGACGAGGACUUAAUGGAGGCACGUGGGAGCAGGAUCGGUCGCUGGCGGGCCCCCAAAGAGCCUCUUGGCUCUUGGGAUGGCCCAGCGCGUGUUCUGGGGUGGGAAGGAAGGGAGAGUGUGCGUGUGUGUGAAUGUCCGUCCUAGGGAGGAGAAGGAGGAGAGUGGCUCGAGGAGACUUGAUUUUCUUGGAUUUGCUGCCAGUCCGUAAACCAAACCAGGCUUUCGAGGCGCUAAAGUAAAUUACCGGUGGCAGUGUAGAAGCCAAAACGGGAGCUUCCAGAAGUGGUUUCUGAAAAAUAAGAGUGAAUAUACAUGAGUAAGCAAGCACAAGAAUCUGAAAAACCACAGAAUUCUGGGCCGGAGCUAAUGGUGCUCUCACAGGGAAGCUCAAGUUAUUGUUCUGUUGACUGUAUAAGUGUCAGGCAUCAAAAUGGCCGGUAAAGAGAAUGAAGCUUUCUCUUUCCUUGGAGGUGCAUGCGUUCAGCACAAUACUGGAAUGUGGUGAUAUCUUGUGAUUUUUGACGUUCUGCUUUUACAGCGGAGGAGGGAUUUGUUUAGCCCCUGCCAACAAGGAUGUAAAACAAAAUCAGAUGCUGUUCUGGAAGCUUUAAAAGAUCAAAUUGGACACUUCCCAGUAGAAAGCAAAUUGGGAGCUCUGAGUCAGAAAGUAUAGACUAAACUAAAGACUAAAAGAUUAAAAGGCUCCAUGGAUAUAGAAUGUCAGGAAAGCUCUUGGGCAUUUAGGAACAUGGAAGUUUGCACUGCAUGGGACUUAGGUUCAUUAUCUAACUCAAGAAACUGGGAAGUAACUACUCAUCCCCCAACGUGUCUAAGAGGAAUAGGGCCUCGAAUCUUCUAAAUUAGAAAGGAAAAGAGCAAAGUUGAGGUUAUAACCCUUUCUUGAAUUAUAGCAUUCACAUUAUACAAACGUAAGGUGCUUUAGAGAUAUUUUAUUUUUGAGGCAUAACAUACAUACAGUAAAAUGUGUAAAAUACAUUAAUCUAAAGUGUACUCCUCAAUGAAUUUUUACAUGUGUAUACACCCGUUUGACCACUAUCCAGGUCAAGAUGUAGAACAUUUCCAGCACCCUAGGAGAUUUUCUACUCUUUCCCCUUCUGGUCACUUUCAUUCCCCUUCCAACCUGAAGGUAACCACAUCAUGAUUUUUUUUUUCACACUGUGAUUUUUUUAAAACUCCAUCCACUAGUUUUGUCUGCUGUUAAGCUCCAUAUAAAUAGUAUCGUAUGGAAGGGAUUUUUGUGUCUAUCUUCUUUCACAUAAUGUAAUGUCUAUGAGAUUCCUCCAUGUUACUGUGUGUAUUAGUUCAUUCUAGUCUGUUGUUGAGUAGUAAUUCCAUUGUAUGGAUAUACCACAAUUUGUUUAUCCAGUCUCCUGUUGGAUCUUUGGACUCUUCCCAUUGUGUGGCUAAUAUGAAUAAAGCACUGUGAACGUUCUUGCUUAUGUUUUUUUUUUUUUUUAAAGAUUUUAUUUUUUCCUUUUUCUCCCCAAAGCCCUCCGGUACAUAGUUGUGUAUUCUUCGUUGUGGGUUCUUCUAGUUGUGGCAUGUGGGACGCUGCCUCAGCGUGGUCUGAUGGGUAGUGCCAUGUCCGCGCCCAGGAUUCUAACCAACAAAACACUGGGCUGCCUGCAGCGCAGCGCGCGAACUUAACCACUCGGCCCCAGGGCCAGCCCCGUUGCUUAUGUUUUUUGGUGGACAUGCCCACUCCUUUCUCUUGAGUAUAUACGUAUGAAUGGAGUUGCUGGGUCAUAGAGUAGGCUUAUAUUUAGCUUUAGUAGAUAUUUCCAAACAGUAUUCCAAAGUAGUUAUACCAAUAUAAAUUCCACCAGUAGUGUACAACAGUUCCAGUUGCUCUACAUUUCCACUUGGUUCUGUCGGUCUUUUUAAUCUUAGCUAUUUUGGUGAGGGCAUAGUAGUACCUUCUGUGGGUUUUUAAAAAAUUUUAAUUGUGGUAAAAUAUAUAUAAUGUAAAAUUUACCGUUGUAAUAAUUUUUAAGUGUAUAGUUAGUGGUGUUAAGUACCUUUACAUUGUUGUGUAACCAUCACCACCAUUGAUCUCCAGAAUUCUUUUUAUCUUGCAAAACUGAAACCAUACCCAUUAAACAAUAAAUCCCCAUUCUCCCUUCCUUCAGCCCCUGGCAACCACCGUUCUGCUUUCUGUCUCUGUGAAUUUGAUUACUUUAAGUACCUCAUACAAGUAGAACCAUAGAAUAUUUGUUCUUUUGUGACUGGCUUAUUUCACUUAGCAUAAUGUCCUUAAGAUUCAUCUGUUGUAGCAUGCGUCAGAAUUUCCUUCCUUUUUAAGGCUGAAUAAUAUUCCAUUGUAUGAAUAUACCACAUUUUGUUUAUCCAUUUGUCAAUCGGUGGACACUUGGGUUGCAGCCACCUUUCAACUAUUGUGAAUAAUGCUGCUAUGAACAUGAGUGUACAAAUAUUUCUUCGAGACCCUGUUUUCAAAUUUUGGGGGUAUAUUGCUAGAUCAUAUGGUAAUUCUGUUUUAAUUUUUUGAGGAGCCACCAUACUGUUUUCCAUAGUGGCUGCACCAUUUUACAUUCCCAACAGUGUACAAGGGUUCCAAUUUCUCCACAUCCUCACCAACAGUUGUUAUUUUCUGUUGUGUUUUUGUUUUUUUUGAUAGUAGCUGUCGUAGUGGGUUUGAGGUGGUCCUUAUGGUUUUAAUUUGUGUUUCCUGGUGAGUAAUGUUGUUAAAUGCCAUUUCAUAUACUUAUUGACGUUUGGAUAUCUUUUUGUGAAAUUCCUGUUAAAAUCUUUUGCCCAUUUUUGAAUUGAAUUGUUUCUUUACUUCUUUGUCAGAGUUCUUUUAUAUUCUAUGUAUGAGUCCUUUGUCAAAUAUAUGUACAGUCAUGUGCUACAUAAUGAUGUUUUGGUCAACGAUGGACCACGUAUACAAAGGUGGUCCCAUAAGAUGAGUACCAUAGAGUCUAGGUAUGUAGUAGGCUAUACUAUCUAGGUUUGUGUGAAUACACUCUAUUUGCACAAUGAUGAAAUUGCCUCAUGACGCUUGACUGUAUUACAAAUAUUUUCUCCCAGUCUGUGGCUUGCCUUUUCACUGUCUUCAUGGUAUCUUUUGAAGGUUUUUAAUGAAGUCCAGUUAUCAGUUUUUUUCUCUUAUGGCUAUUGCUUUUUGUGUUCUAUUUAUGAAAUCUUUGCCUACUUUGGAGUUAUUUUUUUAAAAUUCCCUUUUAGUUACUGAAAAUAUAUAAAGGCAGUCUGUUUGGAAGAUGAAGUAAAUUAACUAUAAGCAUAUUUUCAAAUAAGUGCCCUAAGAAUGAAAGUUGAUGCUGUUCCUUGCUGCAGCAGGUUCCAGAGAAGGAGUUUGGAGAAGCCUGUUUUUCAAUAAGAUACGUGGACACAGAUGCUGUUACUCAAGUGGUUCCCGUUUCUGUCUCCCCCAGACACUGAUUAUGUCCUCAGGGCCCCUCUAGAGUGGAGGAACCCGAGGGAACAGCCUGGUAAUGACUUGACUAGAGGAAAGAAUGUGGCAAAAUGGAUUGAUAUCCACUUUUCCUUAGUUUGUAACCCAUAAUUGCUGAAUGAUCCUUCAUCUCCCCUCUUGCAUCCCUAAGGAGAGUUGCUGCUGUUUAGUGCUACUUCUUUUCUUUGCUUUUGAAACAUCAAUGUCCCUCAGGAUUCUGCCAUUAAUUAGCUUUUUCUCUUCUCCAUCUACAUCUUUUCCUCGAAUGCCCUGCAUUCACAUUCAUUUUCAUGUCUUGAGCUGUCUCUCCCCCUCUGCCCUGUGUUCUAAAGAUUCGCCAGGUCUUUAUCUGACUUGUGCCACCUGUCCCUCAACAGAAGGUCCAGAUUUGUAUCCUUAUCUGACUCCUGGACAUCUCCCACUAGAUAUCCCAUAGGUGCCUUUAUAAAAAUCACGUGUUCUUCCUCUCCAGUCUCCUCUUCUGCUUUCCUGCCUUAAUAUAUUUGCCGUUAAUCUGGGAUCCCAAAGUAGAAAUCUUGGCACUGUCCCCAAUCUCCCCACACAAUUAUAUCACCCCCACAGCCCAUAUUUAGUUGGUUGUCAAGGCUGCUGGGUCUUUCUCCUGUCUCUGAAAUAUCUUUCAAAGGCAUCUUCUCUUCCCUAUAUUCACUACCUUUUGGUUCAGGUCCCCUUUAGAAUUGUUGGAAUAGCCUCCCUGAUUUUUACUCUUGCCUCUAAUCCUCUGCUUCAUAUCAGCUUUCUUUUCCUAAAACACAGAUUUAAUCAUGUCAUUUCCUACUUAAAAUGAUUUGUAGCUCUCCACAGCCUACAAGAGGUAUUCAAAUCCGUUAAUAUAAUUUACAGUAUGACACCCUUCAUUAUUUGCCUUCAACCUGCUUUUCCUGCUCCAUCAUCUGCCAUUUCCUCCCCACACUCCAUCUGUCCUAAACUAUUUUUCAUUCUUAGAACAUUAGAACAUUCCUUGAGCUGUUUCCUGUAUCUGUGCUUUUGCAUAUGCUGUUUGUUCUACUUCUGAUGUCCAUUCCUGUCCACUGGUGAUGUACUAUUUUUUUCUUUAAAAAGCAGCUCAAAUGUGGCUUCUUCUUUGACUGAGCCUUCCUAUCCUCUAAGUAGAUGUUGUUAUUCAUACUUCUUUUAAUGUAGUUAGAAGAGAUGACUCCAUAAUUGCAGGCACUAUUGCAUAUUAAUCUUUGUACCCCCAAUGACUAUAGAGAGCACUACUUCAAAUAUAGAAGGCAUUUAGUAAAUGUUUACUGAAUGAAUAAUUCGUAAAGAAUCCAUUCCUUUAUCAGUUGGCUUUUGCUGCUUAACAAACCACCACAAUAUUGGUUUGGUUAGCAGUUUAAAACAACCAGCAUUUAGUUAGCUUUUGAUUCUGUGGGUUGGCAAUUUGGGCAGGAUUCAGCUGGGCAGUUCUUUAGAUCUGGGCAGGUUUUCUACUGGGUGGGGUGGGAGCUGGCUCUUCUAGGAUGGCCUCAGCUCCUCUCCACAUGGUUUCCAAUCUAUAACCAGGCUAGCCUGGGCUUGUUCACACUCUGGGUGGCGGGGUUCUAAGAGAGAGUGCAGAGGCAUGCAAGGCCUCUUGAGGCCUAGGCCUGCAACUGGCACAAGGUUACUUUCUCUGAAUUUUGUUAGCCAAAACAGGUCACAAAGCCAGCCCUGAUUCAGGAGGUGGGGAAAUAAAUAGAUUGCAUCUCUGGAAGUGAGGAGCUGCAGUCAUGUUGCAAGGAGCACAGAGAAAGGAGAGUAAUUGCAGCCAUUUUUAUGAGUAAUCUACUGCACUUACCUAGGAACAGGAAUAUAAGACUAGACCAGGCUUAGUCCAGAGGGUUGAUUCCACUUAGGUCACCAGCAGGGAGGACAGUUUUGAUCCUGACUAAUUGUGUCUAAUUGCAUCUAAGAUGAGCCCAACCAAGAUGGCCCCAUGGUUCCUAGUGAUACUGACCCUAGGCUUUUAGGCUGUCUGUGUAAUAGAAAGUGACAAGAGGCCAAACCAAAGUCUCAGACAAGGUUUUACCGGGACUUAUGCUCAAGCACAAGGGAGACAGCACAGGAGAAGUGGCUCUCUGGCUGGCUCCUGGAAGGGAGUCAUCUGGAGUCUUUUAUGGGGUGAAGAGAGCGGACUGGCAUCAUGAUUCCCCUCUGUUAGAGGCGUUCUGCUUCCCUCUUCCUGGUGGUAUCUUCUUUGCGUGUCUUCGCAUGCUGCCUCAGGGUUGCAGUCCCUGCCCCUGCCCAGUAGGUCCAACAUGACGGCGUUGCUCACUACUGCCACCCCAGGAAGGUCAUAUAGUGGUCAUCUCCAGGCUUUGUGUGCAUCCGGGAGUCAGGUCCACUGCUUGGGAGAAGUUUUGCGGUUGGAAUGUUGCACAUCUUGACUUCAAAAAUAGCUGGGCUUGGAGGUGCCAAACCUUGUGGUUAAGGGUGAGGGGCAGAGUCCUGUCUCUAUUCAGGCUCAUUAGCAUCCUCCUUUGGCCCUCCUCUUAAGUCCUCUGUCCUUAUCCUUUUAUGCAAAGCAUAUUUAAGACAGCCCCAGUUUCAUUUUAGCCUUGAUGAAGUACCAUUGGUGUUGUGGGAUGGGGAAGUUGCUCCAGUACUGGAAAAAGGAGAAAUCUCUCUCUCUCUUCAUUCUGGAAGCUGCUGUGGAUACCCUUGGGCAUUGGGGACCUUCUCAUUAUGGAGCACCCUUGAGUAUUUACAUUGAUUUGUCUCUAGCAUCUGAUUUAAAAGGCAUUUUGGGGAAAGGAGAAUGUCAGGAAAUGAAAAGAGACCUGAUUGAUUGGGGCUGUUCAUCUCUGUUCUCCCUCAGCAUGUGUGGAAAAUGAAGGGAUCCUCCUACUGAGAAACACUAGUAGUUUACCCAGUCUUAAUGUCUGUGUCCUUUUCCAGCUGUUACAAACUAUUCGGAGUGGAAACGUGAAUUUAAAUGUUUCUGAUUACUACCUAUUAAAGAUUCCUUUUUAAGGACUAGAGUACAUUAGGAGGAAGUAUAGUUACAAUAUACACGUAGGUGCUUAGUUGAAAUAUACGUGAAGUGUAUAUUAAUAAGUAUAUUUAGUAAAACAUACAUGAAGUGACCCUGAUUUUCCAGAGAUAGUAUAGUAACCGUGGAUAGGUUUGAGUUUUUCCAGAACUUGGUGUUAGCACACAUCUGUAUGUUUUAGUAGAGCUGUUAGAAGUAGCUAAAGAAAACAGAUAGAAAUUUUACCUCGUUCAAGUCCAGUUCUACUAAUCCUAGAGAUGCAGAUGAACUGUGAAGUGACCAAAAGGCAUAAAAGAAUAGGAGGCACUUCAAGAGCUUUAAGACCCCUUAUGACCUCUCACGUGUUGUCCUCCUGCCUGUGCCACUCCUAGAUUGGCCAUUGACACAGGUAGAGGCAUGAAAAAUCCACAACCUGAGUAAUCCUCUGUCAAAAUAACAGAUGUGCUACUAUUUAUGAGCGAAAAUAGGACUUUCACUUAUGUUAAAAAAUAUCUUCUUGAAAUUUAUUCUUAUGGCAUGCUUUCUUUUAUUUGUCAAAAACAAAAGAUUUAGUUCAUAUCUCACUUCCUAUGCCCUAUUUAUAGAUCAGUUCCUUAUUGAAUCUCUGUAUGUGCUGUUUAUUUAAAAUGACAACACAAAUUCAAAUGGCCAUAGUUCAAUAUUUUUAGAAGAUCAUGACAAUUCUGGGUUACCAAAUCAGUAUUUUUAUCUAUUAAUUUAUUAAAUCAAAGAAUUUUAACAGAUUGAAAUAGGAUACUAAUUGAAAUUCAGGGUCUUUUUUUCCCUUUUUUUUCAGUCCUUUGUUGUACUUUGGAGGGGAGAGAGUCCCGGGUCAGCUCACCCCGCCAUUUUGCUCCCUGACCGGAAAUAGGAUACUAAUUGAGAUGCAUUUGCAGGUACUCAUGCUUUGUUUUUCUAAUUUAGAACUAGUUUUAUAUUAUUGACAGUAGUGUAAAAUAUUUUAUAUACCAUAUUCCCAACGUGUUGCAUAAUGUGAAUUCUCCUUAAGUUAUAUUUACUGAUGUAUAAAUACAUAGUGUGUAUGUAUUACAGUUGGCCCUCUGUACUGUAGUCUAUAUGUGCUACAGUUGGCCUUCCAUAUACGGGAAUGUGAAACCCACAGAUGCGGAGGGUUGACUCUAUUCAUAGUACUAUGCCAUUUUAUAUAAGGGACUUGAGCAUGCACAGAUUUUGGUAUCUGCAGGGGUUCCUGGAACCAGCCUGCCAUGGAUACUGAGGGACGACUGUAUACUCUGGAGAGAGAGAGAGAGGGAGGGAGAGAGAGAACCCAUACAUCCUCUAGCCUAAGGUUAAAAUGCUAGCAGAAGCUAUAUGAAAAUCAUGAGUAAGUGUAGAGCAGAUGUUUAUUGAAACAGCCACUUAGGACAGUGACUUGAGUUCUAUCAAGGAUUACUGUUUAAGAAGUAUUUACAUUGAGGAAGGUUGUGAUAGUGAAAAGACUGAUGAAUUCAAGGUGGUAGUUUUAGAAGGAGCCUCUGGUGCCACACUGACUAGUGUUAAUGGGCACACUGUUGGAUUUUAAAAGGGGAUUUAAAAACAUGCACAUUUAAGAUGGACUAGAUGGUGAUCAGUCACUCUCCUAUCUUUUGAAUACUAAUCCCCAUGUUGGAAAAUAUUUAAAAUGAUUUGCCUGUUUUGUAAAUGCUAUGGUUUUGUUCCUGAUUAAUUAUGAUAGCAAAAUUUUCUUAUUGUCGUGGCAUUGUCAGUAUUUUAGGUUUGUGAAAGGAGUCUUGGGCACAGAGGUUGGCCUCCAGGGCUGCAGAGGCUGCUUUGCCUGUCUGCUAGCCCAGCUGUGUGUGCAGGAGGGUCUUGGACCAUGUUUUGACGAUGAAAACAAAAACAAAACAUGGCAGGUAUUUAACCAGGAAAAUAUAAUGGAGGAAAACAAUGGAGUCUUAAUGAACUUCCUAAAAUGGGAGAGGUAUGAUUGCUUUAGCUAAUCAUGAUGCCUCAGAUUUCUGCAGGAGAAAGAACAGAGGAUAUUUUUCCUUAAAACAGCUUGUGAGAACUAAAAAACCAUGUGUACUGAGGGGACACCAUGUCCUCUGGUGAUAAGGAAUCUAUGCAGAGGAUCAGCAAUUGUUUUCUCUUUACCUCCAAAGAUGGCAUUGUGGGAUCUUUUCCCUUAGUCAUCAUCAUGUAUGAUGAUACUAUGCAUGUUUUUACCCAUGUUAUGGAAAAAGGCCUUGAGACUCACAGAAAUAACUUGACUGCUGUGGCUUAAGUGAUAGUCCCUGGUCACAGCUUUCUCUACCUCUUUGACACAGUGUUUUGGCUCUGCCUGUGAACCUCAAGUGUAGCCAUAGAGUGAGUGACUGAGUGAGUGAGUGAAAGAGAGAGAGAGAGAGAGUGUGUGUGUGUGUAUAAGGACUCUUCCCAGUGAUGAUAUUGGGUUCCCACAUCUACAUGGUCAGAGUAAAUGAGUACCUAUCUAGUGUGUUGUAUUUUGAAUCACCAGCAGUAAUUUUCCAUCGCUAUCAGUAAAAAUGUAUAUUCAUAAAAAUCAAAACAUUUCAUCAAGAACUUUGACCUUGGAUUGGAUUUGACCUUGGACUGCCCUGGUGCUGGAAUCAGAAGGCUGGACUAGAAAUGAGGAAGCUACUGUUCUUGUUCCCAGUCGGCUUCUAAAUAGCUGUGGGGGCUGAGGACAUCAUUCUUAUUGUUUUGGGCUUUAGUUUUGUCAUCUCUAUGCAAGGGGACUAUUUAUCUCUAAAGCCUUGUCUUAUUCUGACACUCCAUCAGUCUUAAUACCAUGGUCGUAUUUUCCCCCUGAUUUUGGUGAACUCUACCAUAAAACUAUUAUUGGGAUUUAAAAAUUUCAAUCACGUAGAAUUUAUGUUCCAUUAUUAUAAGAUUAAUGAAAUGAGAUCAGUGGCUAGGUGGAAACCAGGAGGCAGUUAUCUAUCAUAGUAUAUUCAAAUUUAUGUUAUUGUGGAGUUUUCCUGUAUUUGGUCAAGAGCAGAGUGACUAUAACCCUACUAAAGAGUGUAAACUUUUAUGUUGAGUUAGGGUGCCCCUCUCCCACUCUUUUCUUUAUUAUAACCUCCCCAAGAAUAGGAAAGCUAAGUUGUAUUGGACUAAGUUUGGGGGCUGCUACAUGACUUCCUCAGUGCUUGCCCUGUUUUUGUACUAAGCAUUUGACAUUCACAAGUCCAGGUGUGGUUUUCCCUAUAUUCAUCUUGCUUUGGUCUGUUGAGCUGCUUGAAUUUGAAGGUUGAUGUCUUACAUCAGUAUUGGAAAGUUCUCAGCCAUUGUCUUUUCAAAUAUUGUUUCUGCCCUGUUCUGUCUCUUAACUUCCUUCUGGCUCUCCAAUUACAUGACUGGGAGACCCUUUCAUGUUUCUUAUGACCUGUUUUAUUUUUCCUUUCCCUUUUUCUCUUUGGGUUUUAAUAUGAGUGUCUUCCAUUAACCUUUAUCUUCACGUUUACUAAUGCUAUCUUUUGCUAUGUCUAGUCUGCUAUUGAACCCAUCUAAUGAGUUAAUUUUAGAUAUUGCAUUGUUCUUUUGUUUUUUUUUUAAAGAUUGGCACCUGAGUUAACAACUGUUGCCAAUCUUCUUUUUUUUUUUCUGCUUUUUCUCCCCAAGUCCCCUCAGUACAUAGCUGUAUAUUUUAGUUAUGGGUCCUUCUAGUUUUGGCUUGUGGGAUGCCGCCUCAGCAUGGCCUGACGAGUGGUGCUGUGUUGGUGCCCAGGAUCUGAACCAGCAAAACCCUGGGCUGCUGAAGCGGAGCAUGCGAACUUAACCACUCAGCCAUGGGGCUGGCCCGAUAUUGUAUUUUUCUAGGAUGUCCAUUUAAUUUUUUAUAGAGAUUCUAGUUCUCUUUUGAAAUUCUCCAUCUUUUCAUCCAUUUUCUCCUUUUUUCUUCAACUAAUUAACCCGUUAUUUUAAAGGUCUUGUCUGCUGAAUCCAAUAAUGAGGAUCAUCUGUGAGUCUGCAUCCAUUGUUUUUUUCUCUUGAAUAUUAGUUACAUUUUCUUGCAGCUUUUCUCAUGUCUAAUAAUUUUUUAUUUUAUACCAGACAUUGUGUAUGGACGAAUCUUACUGGUUUUAAAUUAUAUCAUCUUCCAGAGAGGAUUUCCUGUGUUAGGUAAAUAUAGUGAGGAGCUGAUUACCUUCACCCCUUUCAGGAAUUGAGUUAAGUCAAGGCCAGGUUGCAGUUUUAGGGAGACUCAAUCCAGCUAAGGUUGUCUGUGCUUCUCAGGCAGGGCUCUCCUGGGCUUUUGAUUGAAACCCUGGAGGUUCUUUGUCUUCUUAACCCUGAAAAACUGUAGGAGAUUAAAUUUUGCCCUUUGGCAGUCUGGAGUUUAGCCUGUUGUCCCCUUAAUUUCAAAUUCUUGCAGCUGUUUUAGGAGAAACCUGGUUGUGUAUUUGUGGCACCACUCCUACUUCAGUAAAAAAACUUCAUUUCCUAAGCACUGAAACUGGAGGCUUCACUUUGCCUUUUAGAAAUCCUCAGCCUAAUAUCUCAGUCUCCCUCUCACAGCUCCAGCACUGAACAAAUGGGAGCAUUUCCCAUCUGUCACAUUAGCCUUUGUGGGGUCACCAGAAAGCUUUGCUGGUUUCUUUUCCUCAGUAGAAUCCUUUCUCUUGGCAAGUCACAUUAGUAUGAGCCCAAAGUUCUCAAGUGCCCUGAGGGAAGAAAACCAGAGUUUAUCUGCCCUCGGCAGAAGGGCUCCCUUCCUUUGACAUUAUUGUCCUUGAGUUCCUUAUAGUCUAACAGAAGCCUAAUGCUUUUUUUUCUGCAUAAAACAUUUAAGAUGGGAUCUGCAAUUUCAUCAUAUACAUUAUUUUCAAGUCCUCGUCUAUUCUCAUGGAGUCUUCUGUUUAAACAUUUUUCAGCUUCAUGAUAAAAGCAAUUUUGGUAGUUAGCACCUGUUGACUCAUUAUAAUAUUUCCAAAGGAGGAAAAUGGGAAUCCUUAGACAAUAUGGUCCUCGUCAAAAUAUUUUCACUGCAUUUUUUUCAGUUUUUCAAUUUUAAUUUGUCUAGAAAACACUUCGUAGGUAGAAGAUGGUAAUGAAGGCAGUUUCAAUUGGUUUAAAACUCUCAGAUGAAUUCCUUAUUGGACACAUUUACUUCUCUUUUGUACUAAAAUGAGGCAUGACUGUCAUUACAAACCCUCCCAUUUGUGAAGAGAAUUUGCUCCAGAGAAUUCUAAUACCAUUAAUAGGCAGCAUCCAUAUGGUUUGCACAUGUAAAAAGGAGAGAAUGAGCCCCUCAAAUUAUUUAAAUUGGAACCAUUUCAUCGUUAAGGAGCAAUUCUGUUGUUAACUUUUAUUAGAAGCUGUGUAAGACCUGGCCGGUGCUGAGAGCCCAGGGCUGGUGGGAGCCCUGAGUUCUAGUGUUAGCUCGGCCUCCCAUAAGCCAUUUGUCCCAGGAGAGGUCUCUGUUUUCUCAAUCCUAAGAAUGAGGACAUUGAAAUAGUUGAAUGCUAAUCCUUUCCAUCUCUGCCCUUUGGAUUCCAAUCAUUCCUCACUUGGAAACUAAAGUUGUACUUGCAUUUCGAUAAAUGAUAUUGCCAGAAUCAAUUAAAAGAAUAAAACUAUGCAAAUUUCUUUUGACUCGUACAUUUUCUGUUUGUGAUGCCAAAUGGGAAAUCUUAGACACAGUGUGUCAGUGUCUAAAAAACAUUUAAAAAAUAGUGUACUUGAGUCUUGAGUACCUGGAUUUAAGUGUCAGGUUUGUCAUUCAUCUGCUUUGGGGCCUUGGGCACUUCAUCAACCUCUGUAAGCCUCAGUUUCCUCAACUGGAAAAUGGAUAGGAUAGUGUAGUGGCCUUACCUAUUUCAUGGGGCUUUGUGAGGAUCAACUAAAACAUUUCAUGUGUGAAGCCUCUUUAUGAACAGUAAAGAGCUGUAAAGACAUCAGUUAUCAUUAGGACUGUAAUGAUACAGCCCUUGUCAGCAGUAACCAUCUGUUUGUUGUGGCUGUCGCUAUCAAAAGUGAGAUGUGAAAACAGCCCAAGGGUAUUUAAAUUAUAUACACCUUGACUUUUGUUCCCACUUCACUUUUUUGUAGGGGGGUAGGUGAGCUGACAUCGUGUUCAAGGUAUAAACUCUCUCCUUGAAGUCAUUGAAAUGCAGACAUGGAAGGGACAGUGGGAUUAUUUUAGCAAAUCCUUCUCUUUUAAAGAUGCAGUUUAGGAAGUUUAACUGACUUAUCUGAGGUAGUAAGGCUGCUUCAAGGUAAAACCACAACUAAGACCAGUAAUUGUCCUCUGUUUAAACCCUGAUUUGUGAAGUUACUUCUACAGUUUUGGUCAAGGACCAAAAGAGAGAUUUCUUUUGUUUUCAAACAUUGGGAUUCUUCAUUUCUCUCUCCUUAACCUCCGAACAUCUUUCAUACUACUUUCUCUCCUACUUCACAGACCCCACUCCCAUUCUGGUGGUGGUACCUCUCCUCAGUCCAGAGAAGAGGGUCCUUCACCUCUCAUCCCAGGCGGCCCCCCACAUGUGCUCUUGGUUCCGACCCUGUUUGCCUCCUACGGGGUUUAUGCUAGCAGUUAUCCUAUCUGUGUCCUAUAUUAUCUUUCUUUCCCUUUCUGCUGGUUCUUCUCCUUGGCCGAUGAAGGUGCCCAAGCUUGUCAUAGAAUUUUUUUACUUCACUCUACACACUGCUUCUUUUCCAUACUUAGCUACUGGAAAGAGAAAUUAGUAAGCAGAGGCACUGCUUUCUCAACUUCCGUUUGUUCUUUGUCUUCAGUUUUUUUAGCGGUAAAAUACACAUAACGUAAAAUUUGCCGUCUUAACAAUUUUUGCAUAUACAGUUCAGUAGUAUUAAAUAUAUUCACAUUGUCGUGCAACCAUGACCACCAUCUAUCUCAGAAGUGUUUUCAUCUUGCAAAACUGAAAUUCUGUCCCCAUUAAAACAACUCCCCAUUGCCCCUUCCCCUAAGCUCCUGGCAACCACCAUUCUGCUUUCUGUCUCUAUGUUUUUUCCAUGCAUUCCUUAUACAGUAUUGUAUAAGCACCGUGACUGGUGCUUGGUGGUAGCCCAGAAAAGUUACCUCCCUCCCUCUCUCCUUCCCUUUCCUCUCUCUUGUCCCCUGCUCCAUGCCUCUCCCCCGAUUUGUUGCAGUUUGUUUUCUGGCCUCUCUUGGGGACAACUUGCUGUCCAGCUUCUGGGCACUUUUUCUUCCUUUUUUGGCGUCUAUGAUCCCUUCUCAGGAUCGAGGCUGGUUUCCUCCUCCCCUCCUAAUUUUUUAAGUGAUGCUCUUCUGCAGUGGAAUUCAGUAGCAACCUGUAGUCACCUACCCGCUCUGCCUCCAUCUAUGCUCAUCAGCUGCUUCCUCACACCCUUGACACACCAUGCAAAGCCUCCAUGUCUUCAGCCUCUUGCUUUGCUUUUCUUCCGUAAACAUUCAGCCAAAAGGCCUUGCUCACUGAAGCCUUCAACACCAACCUCAGUUGCAGUUCCACAGAACUUUGGAAGUCUCUCGUGUAGCCCUGAUGUCAAUGUUACUAGGAUUCCACUUUGUCCCCCCACCUCCCCCAGUACUGAGUGCUUCAUUGGCAGGGACUGUGGCUGAUUCUUCUCUAUCAAACUUGGCCCUCACAGUAGGCCCUCAGUGAUGAGUAAAUGAAGGAGAGCAUUCAUUCAAGUACGCUUCCUGUAGUUAAGUGCUUUUCUGAUUUAAGAGAUUGAAUGUUGAUCAACCACGUGGAGCAUCAAAGUAUAAGAUCCGAAAAGAGAGGUUCACAUUGUACUUUGCUGUGAGAAUCUGUUCUAUCAGCCAGUUUAUUAAAUGUUGAGUUAUGUUACAUGAAGUGCCACAGUGUGCUAGGUAGAAUAAUGGCCCUCCAAAGAUGUCUAUGUCCUAAUCCCUGAAACCUGUGAAUAUGUUAAAUGGCAAAGGGGAAUUAAGGUUGCAGAUAGAAUUAAGAUUGCUACUCAGCUGACUUUAAAAUAAAGAGAUUAUCCUGGAUUAUCUGGAUGGGCCAAAUGUAAUCACAGUGGUCCUUAAAAAUGGUGUGUGCUGUAGGAUCUCCUUAUAGCUAAGUUCAUGGACUGCUGAGGGUCUUAAAUUGCCAUGAAUAUUAUCUUCAGUUAAAGCUUUAUUGAUAAAUUCCUUUCUAUAACAGGUAUAAUUUUAUUAGUUUUCUGUGAUAUUAGCUGUAGUGAAAGAAAGGUACUUUUAUUAAAUGCUUAUAUGCGUCAGGUGCUUUAUAUAUGUUAUAUUUAAUGUGCCAAAUUACCCAAGAAGUAGAUAUUAUUAAAUCCUUUAAUGGAUGAAGAAACAGGCACAGAGUGUUAACUUACCCAAGGUCAUGCUGCUAGUAACUGGUGACCCUGAAGUUUUAUUGCAUGCCCAUAAAGAGAAAAAUUCUGAGAUGUGACAUUUUCACUUUUGCAAGGCAUGCUCAUCGUUAUGGUGUCUAAUGCUAUAUUUUAAAAACUCUUGCCUUUAAAUUUGAAAGUUGAAGAUUAAUUUGUAUUUUACUGAAGCAGUAUGACACUGUAGCAAGACAUGCAGAAAAUAGAGGACAGAAAUUAACCAUAAAUCCAACAAAAUCUUGAUUAUAUUUUGGUAUAUUUCCUUUAAGUUCUUUUUUUCCUCUGCAUAAGUAUGUUGCAGUUUCCCACAGCUGUAAUCAUAGUCAUAUUAUACUUUAAAAAAUUUUACAUGAUGUAUUUUCUCCUGUGUCUUUAUAAUUAUCUUUAAUACGCAAUAGGUUUCCAAUUUUUUUUUUUUUUAUUGAAAGUCAUGCUGAAAGAACAGUUAGUAUCUGGGACAUGCCGUUCUCUUGGAGGGCAGGAACAGAGUGCAGACCACUCAACACUGUUAAAGCCUCUGCUUGGAGGUGGUCGGUGUCAUAUCUGCUCACAUUUCCCUUGGUCACAGUGUGUCAUAGGGCCAAAUUCAAAGUCAACUAAGUGGGGACACAUACUUCUCUCCCACGACUGACAGGAUGAGUAAUCCUAUUAUAGAAAGGGAGAAAUAAUUGGGAAUAAUAAUACCAUUUGCCACCUGGAGGGGAAUGAAAUGAUCAGAGGUAGAACAUAAAAAUAGAAAUAAGUGAAAGUGCCGAUACAGACAGGCUGGUCGGUUUUGAAUCUAGAUUCUGACCUUGAGCAGAGGCUGUCUUAGGUGUCUCCCCUGUGAAAUGGAAGGAUUAAAAGAAAUCAUGUAUCGAAAGCAUGCUGCACUUUGCCUGACUUGUGAUAGGCUGCCAGCAAAUGUUAGUUUUCUUUAAAGAUGUAGUUUUGCCAUGGUACUGAAUGAGCUGUUUUAGUGCCCGUUUGGAUAGAACUAGGUUUUCUUGGGUUUUAACUCAAAUAUACACAAUGCUGUGGAUUUUCUAGUCAUUAAAGAAAAGAUAGCCUAAUUUGUGAAUUUUUCACUUUAAGUCCCUUUAAAAAAGUGCAUCAUCACUGACAAGUUAAUUUAAAAUCCCUGGCCCCAUGUCUAAAGAUGUGGGAAUCAAUAUUUCCCAGGUGAUUAUAUGUUCUUUAUUACUUAAAGGGUGGUCCAGGGGCCAUCAGCAUCCCCAUCACCUGGGAGCUUGUUAGAAAUGCAGCAUCUUGGGCCCCACCUCAGACCUAUUGAAUCAGAUUCUACAUUUCAACAACAUGCCCAGGAGAUUCAUAUACAUUAAAAUCUGAACAGCAGUGAUAUACAUGAUCCUUAGAAAUGCUGUUUUUUAAAAAGAAGUUUUCUUUUUGAAUUAUUCUUUGCCUUUCAGUUUGACCGU